GGUCAGUGUUGGCGUUAAUGGAAGAGCGUCCGACGUUGAGCUCUUGAGCAACUUUGAGCUCAGAAACAACUUUGAUCUGCAGGAACCUCGACCCGCUGCUAAAUGUAAAACUAAAACAUCACUAAAUAAAUGUAUUGAUAAAAUUUAAAUUUAACUCGUUCUCAGCGGACCAAGGCAGCUCCUGACCACUUGUCUGCUUGACAGGGGAGUCAGUAGAAGAUAGAGAUAAAGCUGAAUUUCGGUUUUUAUCAUCAACAAAUGCAACGGCAGGGACUGACGAUCCUUCUACCUUUUCACGGCAUCCUUGAAGUUACAGAUAUGUAGAUUCGUGUUCUUACCAGCCUAUGAGAGAUCUUCGCGCCGUUUUGAUCGUGUUGCACUACUAGCCGCUCGAGUAUGGCCAUUAACGGUGGAUGCAUCGAUUGGGAAGUGAUCGAGCACGGUCGGGUAGCAAUUAUGACGAACAAGUAUCGCGUUGAUCGGGAAGCGGUCGGGUUUUACUCAGGUAGUGGUCGAGAUUUUAUCCAGACCAAACAAGAUCUUGACAAGAUCGUUUACCGGUUAACUUUACCUCUACUCGACCAAUACCCGAUCGCCAGACCCGUUCUCGAUCGCUCAAUCAGGCUUGGAGUUGAUUUGAUCGGCAGUGAAAACCUUGCUUGAGGUUUCAAAACUUAAAACAUUACAAUUUUUACAUAACUCAGUAAUACAGAAUAUAGAUGUAGUAUAAUGCUGUGCUGUUAAAGGGAGGCUAUUGUGAUACAUUUCUUUUUAAAUAUGACAGAAUACCUCCACUUGUACGCACCGCGAAAGACAAGAUUUUCAUGUCAUACAGUACUGUAAAUUAUUGUUUUGUAUUGUGUGAUGAUAUCACGAAGGCGAGAAAUAAUUAAAUGUAUAGUAUAGGCAUUUAACUAGAGCAUUUUAUUUUCAAGGGAAAUAAUUGUGGUCUGACUGUAUUAUUUUGAAAAUCACAGUUGAGAUUUUUUUAUGUGUGCACCGGUACAGUUUUGCGGGGAAGCGAAAGUUGACAUGGAAUUUUGUCUUCUUCUAAAAACAAGUGACUGAUACAUGUAGUUGCAGUCUGUCUUUGGAAGCCGUAGAAAUAACAAGAAAGAGGCUGACAUAGUGUUUUGGUAGGGAAAAGUUUGUGUAUGUACAUGUAUAGUUGUUUGACCUGUCUUACCCUGUGGCAGUCCAAGAAGAUGUUACCAUUAUGAAAAAUGCAGGAGAACUUGAAGACAAUUGUUAGUGCAGAAGGGACAUAAAAGUUAUGACAAAAUUAACAGAUAUAAAUAAGAAGUGCUACAAGUGUGUUGUCAUGUGAAAUGGAAUUUACCCCAACUGUGCUGCAAGAUGUAUAUUCAAGUGCAAGACAGCCAUGCACCAGCUGUAAACUGAGAUGGACCCGUAUAAUAAAAAUGUUGACGUUUCUAUGUAUUAUCAUCUGUACAGAAUGUGUUCAUGACAAGACUGUAUACAUAUAUUGAUAAAUCAUUUUUUUAUUUCCAUUAUUGCAUGCAUGUAAGAAGCAAGCAUUUAACAAUUGCAUUCAUAGAAGUGUUAAAAUGUGAUCAAUCUAAUUUAAAGAAACACAUUUAAUUGGACUUUUUAAGUUUCAUAGUAUUUGUGGUGGAGACUGACCCAGUCAUUCAGCAACUUAUAUUGUCUGUGUGUCAUUUCUUGUAUGUUAU